rnacentral:rRNA from 1 species
GACGAACGCUGGCGGCGUGCUUAACACAUGCAAGUCGAACGCUGAACCCGCUUCGGUGGGGGAUGAGUGGCGAACGGGUGAGUAACACGUGGGCAACCUGCCCCCGGCUCUGGGAUAGCUCCAAGAAAUUGGGGCUAAUACCGGAUGUGACCGCUGGCCGCAUGGUCUGGUGGUGGAAAGGGUUUCCGGCUGGGGAUGGGCCCGCGGCCUAUCAGCUUGUUGGUGGGGUAGUGGCCUACCAAGGCGACGACGGGUAGCCGGCCUGAGAGGGUGACCGGCCACACUGGGACUGAGACACGGCCCAGACUCCUACGGGAGGCAGCAGUGGGGAAUAUUGCGCAAUGGGCGGAAGCCUGACGCAGCGACGCCGCGUGGGGGAUGACGGCCUUCGGGUUGUAAACCUCUUUCAGCAGGGACGAAGCGCAAGUGACGGUACCUGCAGAAGAAGCACCGGCCAACUACGUG